rnacentral:rRNA from 1 species
UGGCGACCGGCGCACGGGUGCGUAACGCGUAUGCAACCUACCUUUAACAGGGGGAUAACACUGAGAAAUUGGUACUAAUACCCCAUAAUAUCAUAGAAGGCAUCUUUUACGGUUGAAAAUUCCGAUGGUUAGAGAUGGGCAUGCGUUGUAUUAGCUAGUUGGUGGGGUAACGGCUCACCAAGGCGACGAUACAUAGGGGGACUGAGAGGUUAACCCCCCACACUGGUACUGAGACACGGACCAG